AAUAUGUUGCCAUUGCAGAUGAAGGAUUCUUAUACUGCUGCUGUUGCCUGGGAUUCCACUAGUAGUGGUUCAGUGAUCCACGCUCCCCUCCUGUGCUUCAGAACUCACCUUUUCCAUGCAAUUUUCAGCCCAACGAAUCCUGAAUUCGUGUCUGUGCUACGGACCAACUUCAACAGGAGGAGGUGGAGACUGUUUCUCUUCUGGCCAUGGCCUAUAUCUUUGCUUUCCUGAACCCUUCCAGGCAGAUGAAGCUGAACCCAAUUCUUCCAUAAUCUGGCUAAGCAACUACUUUUCUCUUCAUUUUUACUACUUAUCUGCACCUAGUACAAUGAGACCCUUAUCAAUGAAUCUCCAGGUGCUACUGCCAUAUAAAAAAAGA